rnacentral:rRNA from 1 species
CCUACGGGUGGCAGCAGUGAGGAAUAUUGGUCAAUGGACGAGAGUCUGAACCAGCCAAGUAGCGUGAAGGAUGACUGCCCUAUGGGUUGUAAACUUCUUUUAUAUGGGAAUAAAAUGUUCCAAGUGUGGGAUUUUGUAUGUACCAUAUGAAUAAGGAUCGGCUAACUCUGCGUCAGCAGCCGCGGUAAUACGGAGGAUCCGAACGUUAUCCGGUUUUAGUGGGUUUAAAGGUAACGUAGGUGGAUUCUUAAGUCAGUUGAGAAAGUUUGCGGCUCAACCGUAAGAUUGCAGUUGAAACUGGCAGUCUUGAGUACAGUAGAGGUGGGCGGAAUUCGUGGUGUAGCGGUGAAAUGCUUAGAUAUCAGGAGGAACACCGAUAGCGAAGGCAGCUCACUGGACUGCAACUGACACUGAGGCUCGAAAGUGUGGGUAUCAAACAGGAUUAGAUACCCUAGUAGUC